rnacentral:rRNA from 1 species
ACCCAGCUUCCAGGAAAAGCCUCUAAGCUUCAGUCUAAGAGUGACCGUACCGCAAACCGACACAGGUGGGCUGGUAGAGAAUACCAAGGCGCUUGAGAGAACUCAGGAGAAGGAACUCGGCAAAUUGAUACCGUAACUUCGGGAGAAGGUAUGCCCCUGGUACGUGAAGGCCCUCGCGGCCGGAGCGGAACGGGGUCGCAGAGAAUCGGUGGCUGCGACUGUUUAUUAAAAACACAGCACUCUGCAAACACGAAAGUGGACGUAUAGGGUGUGACGCCUGCCCGGUGCCGGAAGGUUAAGUGAUGGGGUGCAAGCUCUUGAUCGAAGCCCCGGUAAACGGCGGCCGUAACUAUAACGGUCCUAAGGUAGCGAAAUUCCUUGUCGGGUAAGUUCCGACCUGCACGAAUGGCGUAACGAUGGCCACACUGUCUCCUCCUGAGACUCAGCGAAGUUGAAAUGUUUGUGAAGAUGCAAUCUCCCCGCGGCUAGACGGAAAGACCCCAUGAACCUUUACUGUAGCUUUGCAUUGGACUUUGACGGGACUUGUGUAGGAUAGGUGGGAGGCUAUGAAACCGGGACGCCAGUUCCGGCGGAGCCACCCUUGAAAUACCACCCUGGUGUCGUCGAGGUUCUAACCCAGGCCUGUGAAUCCAGGUCGGGGACCGUGCAUGGUGGGCAGUUUGACUGGGGCGGUCUCCUCCCAAAAGGUAACGGAGGAGUACGAAGGUCACCUAGGUACGGUCGGACAUCGUACUGAUAGUGCAAUGGCAAAAGGUGGCUUGACUGCGAGACCCACAAGUCGAGCAGGUGCGAAAGCAGGUCAUAGUGAUCCGGUGGUUCUGUAUGGAAGGGCCAUCGCUCAACGGAUAAAAGGUACUCUGGGGAUAACAGGCUGAUUCCGCCCAAGAGUUCACAUCGACGGCGGAGUUUGGCACCUCGAUGUCGGCUCAUCACAUCCUGGGGCUGUAGCCGGUCCCAAGGGUAUGGCUGUACGCCAUUUAAAGUGGUACGUGAGCUGGGUUUAAAACGUCGUGAGACAGUUUGGUCCCUAUCUGCCGUGGGCGCUGGAAGUUUGAGAGGGCCUGCUCCUAGUACGAGAGGACCGGAGUGGACGCACCCCUGGUGUACCGGUUGUGGCGCCAGUCGCAUCGCCGGGUAGCUAUGUGCGGAAGAGAUAACCGCUGAAAGCAUCUAAGCGGGAAACUCGCCUCAAGAUGAGACUUCCCCGGGGCCUCGAGCCCCCUGAAGGGUCGUUGAAGACCACAACGUUGAUAGGCCGGGUGUGUAAGCGUGGCAACACGUUCAGCUAACCGGUACUAAUUGCCCGUGUGGCUUGAUUC